rnacentral:misc_RNA from 1 species
AACCUUAUGGACCUGCGGGCGUAUACCUGCGGAAGGAUCAUUACAGAGUUGCAAGACUCCCUAAACCAUUGUGAACCUACCUUCUACCGUUGCUUCGGCGGGCGGGCCCAGCGCCCCCCCCGGCCCCCCGCGGGCGCCCGCCGGAGGAUACCCAAACUCUUGACAUUAGUGGCCUCUCUGAGUAUUCUUUACUGAAUAAGUCAAAACUUUUAACAAUGGAUCUCAGAUCGGAAGAGCACA